AUGUCAGACCCACGGAUCCAGGUGGCGGUCCCCGCUCUGAGCUUUGUGCUUGUGCAGAUUUGGGGGGGGGGCUGCCUGGCAGGCAAGCAAGAUGGUGUGGGGAAGGGAGUCACAAAGAGGGACCACCUGGCCCUGUCACACCAGGAGAACUCCGACCUUCGCGCCAAGGUGGAGCGCCUGGAGGCCAGCCUGCAGCAGAAGGUGGAGGAGCUGAUGGGGCUGGAGGGCCAGAUGGACCGGCUGCGGUGGCGCAAGGAGGAGGAGGCGCGCCGCUUGGAGGAGGACCUGCGGGGGCUCCGGCUCUCCCUGGAGGCCCAGAAAGACUGGGCCCCCGAGGUGCAGUACAUCACCAAGACCGUGGAGGUGGACUCCCCGCGCACCCUGCAGGCUGUGGCCGACGCCGAGGAGCAGAACCGGAUGCUGGUGGAACAACUCGCGGGCCAGGCGGAGCAGUGCCGGCAGCUGACGGAGCGGCUGCACAGCUCCGAGGAGAUCGCAGCUGGCCUGAGGCUCAAGGUAGGUCGGGCCUGGGUUCGAGGGAGUGCUGCGUGGCUGCGGAGCCGCUGAUUCCAUAAGGCUGAAGGUUGAAGCCGAGGGUUCUUUCAAGGAACUGCGGAUUGAGGUUCAAGACUCUGGAAGCAAUAAGCCCCCAUCCUGCACACUGGAAAGACCAUUAUCUCAGGGUGCAUGAGGGCUAGAGACGUCAGCCUAAGAUUCAGUCUCAAAAGAAGUGCAAAAUGGGGACGAAACAGGUAACAUAUUGGCAGUUACUGAGGUGUUAAACAGCUUUCUCUUUCUCGGAGGCUUAUGAAGGGCAGCUGGCUAAGCAGAGGGGUGCCCAUACAGUGUCUAACGGACCAUGCGCCUGAAGUCUAACACAUUAAAACGCAUUGAGCCGGUACAAGUUACUGCAGGAGAGAGAGAGAAAGGCUAGAAAUGGACAGAAGCAAUGACUGGUAGAUAAUUUGGUUUCAUUUUACACAACAAGAUUCUGAUGAGGAGCAAUCUAGCUGAGCAUAAGAAUGUGGGAUUUCAGCGGCAGGGGUCGGAUGAGCCACAUCAUUUCCCUCAGGGCCAUUUCCUCUUUUGGGGGGUGGGGGGGAUGGGUCGUUCACUUGGGUGCCAGAUCCGGAGUCUGAAAUGACCUCCUGGACAAAAUCUGGAGCCUUGCCUUCUGCUUUGGGUCACAGGGCUUCAAGGAAGAAGGAGAUGAAGAUGUUGAGAAGGGCAGGGGAUCCUUUGGGGAAGGGCUAUAGAGCAGCCAGGAAGCACAGAAGAAAAAAAGGAGGAAGGGAGACAGAAUAUUUAGCAAUGGGGGCAAAGCGACUCUCUUGGCCUGUGUUUCCGGCGUGGGGGGGGGAAUGGUGAGCGGGAGCUGAGAUGGAGCUGAAGAGGAGGGGAAGGGAAGGGAAGCCGUCCCGUUUCUCAAGGGGCUUAAGCCACCCGAAGGGCAAACACCAGGGACUAAUAGGCAGGACAACAAGGAAUGCUAUCAGGCCAGCUGGUCGGGUGGUUAAAGUGGCCGAAUGGGGCUCGGGAAAGCCUGGUUCUAGACCAGCCAUGGCGA
rnacentral:lncRNA from 1 species